UGAGAGCAGACGUUCCCUUCAGAAUAAAGAAGACAACAUGUCAGUAGACCAGCUCAUUGAAUGGUACAUAAUGUUCCCUGUGUCCACCAUUUAACUAGAGUGGGCAGAGAAGGUCAUUUAUCCACCAUUUAACUAGAGUGGGCAGAGAAGGUCAUUUAUCCACCAUUUAACUAGAGUGGGCAGAGAAGGUCAUUUAUCCACCAUUUAACUAGAGUGGGCAGAGAAGGUCAUUUAUCCACCAUUUAACUAGAGUGGGCAGAGAAGGUCAUUUAUCCACCAUUUAACUAGAGUGGGCAGAGAAGGUCAUUUAUCCACCAUUUAACUAGAGUGGGCAGAGAAGGUCAUUUAUCCACCAUUUAACUAGAGUGGGCAGAGAAGGUCAUUUAUCCACCAUUUAACUAGAGUGGGCAGAGAAGGUCAUUUAUCCACCAUUUAACUAGAGUGGGCAGAGAAGGUCAUUUAUCCACCAUUUAACUAGAGUGGGCAGAGAAGGUCAUUUAUCCACCAUUUAACUAGAGUGGGCAGAGA